rnacentral:lncRNA from 1 species
CAGCAUGGAUGGAGUUAGGGUGAACUAGGGUUUCCGAAAAUUUUUUAGGUUUUAAACUUUUAAGUUUUUUUUUUUUUUUUGUAUUUGGGCCAAUCUAUUUUUAUAAAUGGACUUAAUAAUGGACUCAUUAUUAUUUUUUUAUUUUACUUUUUUUUUUGAGGGGGGACGGGACGAAUGACAGAUAUGAACUUCAAUUUCAAGUUUAUGCAUAACUCUUGGAUUUUUGGCAACUUUGACUCUUGAUUAACAAAUAUUUCUCCAACUAAAAUGCUUCCAGCUUCCACCCAAAUUUGCCUCUUCAUAAAUUGGCUCCGUUAGUCUUUCAACUACCAAAAUAUGCUUAGCUCCAUUUCCUUCAAUUUAGAUUAUAGUGAGCGGUGCUCUUAAAUAACUCGGGUUCCAUGUUAAUGGGCUUGAACUUCAGUCCAUCUUUAUUAGGCUUCUUAACUCGAAUCAAUUAUGAUGUGACACAUGACCAAUAUAU